rnacentral:rRNA from 1 species
CACGUAGUUAGCCGGCGCUUCUUCUGCAGGUACCGUCACGACUAGGAGAACCCAACCGCUUCUUCCCUACUGAAAGAGGUUUACAACCCGAAGGCCUUCAUCCCUCACGCGGCGUCGCUGCAUCAGGCUUUCGCCCAUUGUGCAAUAUUCCCCACUGCUGCCUCCCGUAGGAGUCUGGGCCGUGUCUCAGUCCCAGUGUGGCCGGUCGCCCUCUCAGGCCGGCUACCCGUCGACGCCUUGGUGAGCCGUUACCUCACCAACAAGCUGAUAGGCCGCGAGUCCAUCCUUGACCGAAAAAACUUUCCAGACGCCGACCAUGCGGUCGCGUCUCGUAUCCGGUAUUAGCCCCGGUUUCCCGGAGUUAUCCCAGAGUCAAGGGCAGGUUACUCACGUGUUACUCACCCGUUCGCCACUGAUCAACCAGAGCAAGCUCUGGCGUCACCGUUCGACUUGCAUGUGUUAAGCACGCCGCCAGCGUUCGUCCUGAGCCAGGAGUACAAACUCU